rnacentral:tRNA from 1 species
GAGGGUAUAGCUCAGUGGUAGAGCACUUGCUUAGCAUGCACGAGGUCCUGGGUUCAAUCUCCAGUACUUCCA